rnacentral:rRNA from 1 species
UACAGAGGGGGCAAGCGUUAUUCGGAAUUAUUGGGCGUAAAGGGCGCGUAGGCGGUUCGUUAAGUGAGAUGUGCAAUCCCCGGGCUCAACCUGGGAACUGCAUCUCAGACUGGCGGGCUAGAGUGUUGGAGAGGGUGGUGGAAUUCCACGUGUAGCGGUGAAAUGCGUAGAGAUGUGGAGGAACACCAGUGGCGAAGGCGGCCACCUGGACAAUAACUGACGCUGAUGCGCGAAAGUGUGGGUAG